rnacentral:rRNA from 1 species
AUUGAACGCUGGCGGCAGGCCUAACACAUGCAAGUCGAGCGAGUGGCGGACGGGUGAGUAAUGUCUCGGAAAGUGCCUGCUGGCGGGGGAUAACUACUGGAACGGGUAGCUAAUACCGCAUACUAUUAGAUCUGCCCAGAUGGGUUUAGCUAGUUGGUGUGGUAACGGCUCACCAAGGCGACGAUCCCUAGCUGGUCUGAGAGGCUGACCGGCGAAACUGGGACUGAGACACGGUCCAGACUCCUACGGGAGGCAGCAGUGGGGAAUAUUGCACAAUGGGCGCAAGCCUGAUGCAGCCAGGCCGCGUGUAUGAAGAAGGCCUUCGGGUUGUAAAGUACUUUCAGCGGGGAGGCGUUACCCGCAGAAGAAGCACCGGCUAACUCCGUGCCAGCAGCCGCGGUAAUAC